rnacentral:rRNA from 1 species
UUUCGCAAUGCCCGAAAGGGUGACGAAGCGACGCCGCGUGAGUGAGGAAGGCCUUCGGGUUGUAAAGCUCCGUCAGGAGUUAAGAAAUAUAAGUGUGUUAAUACCACAUUUAUUUGACGAAGGCUCCAAAGGAAGCCACGGCUAACUCUGUGCCAGCAGCCGCGGUAAUACAGAGGUGGCAAGCGUUGUUCGGAAUUAUUGGGCGUAAAGAGCACGUAGGUGGGUUUGUAAGUCAGAUGUGAAAGCCUUCUGUUCAACGGAAGAAUUGCAUCUGAAACUGCGAGUCUUGAGUGUAGGAGGGGAGAAUGGAACUUCUGGUGGAGCGGUGAAAUGCGUAGAUAUCAGAAGGAACGCCGGCGGCGAAAGCGAUUCUCUGGCCUAUUACUGACACUCAGUGUGCGAAAGCUAGGGGAGCAAACGGGAUUAGAUACCCCGGUAGUCCUAGCUGUAAACGAUGGGCACUAAGUAGAGGGGUUUUA